UACGUAGGGUCCGAGCGUUGUCCGGAAUUACUGGGCGUAAAGAGCUCGUAGGUGGUUUGUCGCGUUGUCCGUGAAAACUCACAGCUCAACUGUGGGCGUGCGGGCGAUACGGGCAGACUGGAGUACUGCAGGGGAGACUGGAAUUCCUGGUGUAGCGGUGGAAUGCGCAGAUAUCAGGAGGAACACCGAUGGCGAAGGCAGAUCUCUGGGCCGUAACUGACGCUGAGGAGCGAAAGCGUGGGGAGCGAACAGG
rnacentral:rRNA from 1 species